UACGUAGGUGGCAAGCGUUGUCCGGAUUUAUUGGGUUUAAAGGGUGCGUAGGUGGCCCUGUAAGUCAGUGGUGAAAUAUCUCAGCUUAACUGAGAGGGUGCCAUGGAUACUGCAGGGCUUGAGUACAGAUGAGGUAGGCGGAAUUGACGGUGUAGCGGUGAAAUGCAUAGAUAUCGUCAAGAACACCGAUAGCGAAGGCAGCUUACCAAGCUGUAACUGACACUGAGGCACGAAAGUGUGGGGAUCAAACAGG
rnacentral:rRNA from 1 species